rnacentral:misc_RNA from 1 species
CGGCAAUGUUGCUGUGAAUAUAUGAAUUAGGGUUUUCUAUUGCGUAGCGGACGCCGGCUUGGGCGGCGAGGUGCAUGACGUGGGUGAACUGGCCGAUCUCGAAGAGCUUGGCGAGGAGGCGGGCGUCGUUGAGGUCGCCUUCGACGAGAUAGAUGGAGUGCGAGGAGAGGAGGGACUUGCGGGCUUUCUUGAGAGAGGGGUCGUAGUAGGAGUUGAAGCAGUCGAGACCUAGGACGCCGUCGCCGCGGCGCUUGAGGGCAGCGGCGACGUGAGUGCCGACGAAGCCGGCGGCACCGGUGACGAGGACGGUGUGGCGG